rnacentral:misc_RNA from 1 species
GAAAACGAUAAGCCGCAAAAUAAAAUUGAUAAAAAUAAAUUACCAAAUUUUAUGAUUUAUCGAAAAGGUUUUUCAAUCGUUCCGACACCCCCCGUCCGUGCGUGAGUACGAGUGUUUCAUCUCGCGAAAAAGAUGAGAAAUUAGAAAAGGAAAAUGCACAGAAAUAAAUGAAAGAAAAUAACUAUACGUUAAAACGAACAACAACCUGCGCAUCGAAGUGACAAACUCGAACGAACGAUCUCAACUUCAAGUAACCAAAAACCAAAAAAAAAAAGAGAAACAAAAAAACGAAAACCAAAAGACUAAUCAGAGGCGAGCCACCAAUCGUAUAAGACAAGCAUCUGAAUCUGAAAAACAGAAAAAAAAAAAAAAAAACAAACAAACAAACGAACAAACCGAAGCGAAAAAGCAAAGAAAUUAGAGAACAGAAAAACGAUAGAAAGAGAAAUCUAGGAAACGAAAAAAAAAAAAGGAGGAAAACUGAAAACUAGAGAAGAUCCAAGAAUUCAAAUCAACCGAAAGUGAAAAGUCCGGUGAACUUGAAACAUCCCUCUGUCACGACCGUGUGGACUGAGGUCCGGACGUAACACCUCGACGAAAAAAAGAAAAAAAACCUAAAGUUACAUCUUGAUUUCUCUCGGAAUCUCGACGUUACAAGGAGAUCGGAGAUUCUCAGAGAUAUUGAAAGGCAAGAAAAUUAAGUUCACGACUGAUAACGAGAGAGAAAAGAAUAAACUCAAUCCAAACUUGUAGCAACCAAAAUCCUUGAAAGAAAUAGUGAAAUAGAGAAGUAACUUCGAAAAGCUGACGGUGAUCUACGUAGAAACGAGUAGCUUGUUAUAACUGGCCUAAUUACAAGAAGAAAAAAAUAAUAGUGCGAAAUACUUACUACUCUGUGGUAGUAAACUUGUAAACCUUGUUAGACUGCAGAUUCUAAUAAUAAUAUUAAUAAUAAUAACAAUACUAAUAAUAAUAAUAAUAAUAAUACUAAUAACGACGUAAAUAAAGAAGAACUGUAUAUCGCUGUACGAAGGAGGACUGAUUUUAUAGGAUAUAAGGAACCUAUUAUACUUAUAUGAGACGAAGAAAAAUAGCGAAAAAAAGAGAAUACCAAAAAGCAAGAACGUAUAACAAGGGAAUAAAUUAAGCGAAUGAAUAAACAAAUGAAUAAAUGAACAAACAAAUAAAUGAAUCUAUAAAUAAAUAAGAGGACAAAAUAAUCACGAAGUUUUGAAUCUCGAAUCAACGCAGGGAGGAGAUAAAAUUGAACGAACAAAGAAACAAAUAAACCGACAAACAA